UACGGAGUGGCAGACGGGUGAGUAACGCGUGGGAACAUACCCCUCGGUUCGGAAUAACUCAGGGAAACUUGAGCUAAUACCGGAUACGUCCGAGGUUUUAAUCGACCUCGGAGAAAGAUUUAUCGCCGGAGGAUUGGCCCGCGUCUGAUUAGCUUGUUGGUGAGGUAAUGGCUCACCAAGGCGACGAUCAGUAGCUGGUCUGAGAGGAUGAUCAGCCACAUUGGGACUGAGACACGGCCCAAACUCCUACGGGAGGCAGCAGUGGGGAAUAUUGGACAAUGGGCGAAAGCCUGAUCCAGCCAUGCCGCGUGAGUGAUGAAGGCCUUAGGGUUGUAAAGCUCUUUUACCCGGGAAGAUAAUGACGGUACCGGGAGAAUAAGCCCCGGCUAACUUCGUGCCAGCAGCCGCGGUAAUACGAAGGGGGCUAGCGUUGUUCGGAAUUACUGGGCGUAAAGCGCACGUAGGCGGAUCUUUAAGUCAGGGGUGAAAUCCCGAGGCUCAACCUCGGAACUGCCUUUGAUACUGGGGAUAUCGAGUCCGGGAGAGGUGAGUGGAACUGCGAGUGUAGAGGUGAAAUUCGUAGAUAUUCGCAAGAACACCAGUGGCGAAGGCGGCUCACUGGCCCGGUACUGACGCUGAGGUGCGAAAGCGUGGGGAGCAAACAGGAUUAGAUACCCUGGUAGUCCACGCCGUAAACGAUGGAUGCUAGCCGUUAGACAGCUUGCUGUUUAGUGGCGCAGUUAACGCGUUAAGCAUCCCGCCUGGGGAGUACGGUCGCAAGAUUAAAACUCAAAGGAAUUGACGGAAUCGAAUU
rnacentral:rRNA from 1 species